GAUCCCUACGGGAGGCAGCAGUGGGGAAUAUUGGACAAUGGGCGAAAGCCUGAUCCAGCCAUGCCGCGUGUGUGAAGAAGGUCUUCGGAUUGUAAAGCACUUUAAGUUGGGAGGAAAGGGCAAUUUACCUAAUACGUUAGUGUUUUGACGUACCGACAGAAAAAGCACCGGCAUCC
rnacentral:rRNA from 1 species